rnacentral:rRNA from 1 species
CUACGGGGCGCAGCAGUGAGGAAUAUUGCACAAUGGGGGGAACCCUGAUGCAGCAACGCCGCGUGGAGGAUGACGCAUUUCGGUGUGUAAACCCCUUUUAUAUGUCAAGAAAAUGACGGUAGCAUAUGAAUAAGCACCGGCUAACUCCGUGCCAGCAGCCGCGGUAAUACGGAGGGUGCAAGCGUUACUCGGAAUCACUGGGCGUAAAGGACGCGUAGGCGGGUUGGAAAGUCAGGUGUGAAAUCCUACAGCUUAACUGUAGAACUGCACUUGAAACUUCUAAUCUAGAGUAUGGGAGGGGGAGAUGGAAUUAGUGGUGUAGGGGUAAAAUCCGUAGAUAUCACUAGGAAUACCUAAAGCGAAGGCGAUCUCCUGGAACAUUACUGACGCUAAGGCGUGAAAGCGUGGGGAGCAAACAGGAUUAGAUACCGGUAGUC